rnacentral:rRNA from 1 species
ACAUGCUUACAACAUAGCAUUAAUGCACCAGAUCCCAUUAGAACUCUGCAGUUAAGCACACUCGGGCUAGAGUAGUACUUGGAUGUGUGACCACCCGGGAAGUCCUAGUAUUUUACAUGAC